rnacentral:rRNA from 1 species
GAUGAACGCUGGCGGCGUGCCUAAUACAUGCAAGUCGAGCGAACAGACGAGAAGCUUGCUCCUCUGACGUUAGCGGCGGACGGGUGAGUAACACGUGGAUAACCUACCUAUAAGUCUGGGAUAACUUCGGGAAACCGGAGCUAAUACCGGAUAAUAUAUUGAACCGCAUGGUUCAAUAGUGAAAGACGGUUUUGCUGUCACUUAUAGAUGGAUCCGCGCCGCAUUAGCUAGUUGGUAAGGUAACGGCUUACCAAGGCGACGAUGCGUAGCCGACCUGAGAGGAUGAUCGGCCACACUGGAACUGAGACACGGUCCAGACUCCUACGGGAGGCAGCAGUAGGGAAUCUUCCGCAAUGGGCGAAAGCCUGACGGAGCAACGCCGCGUGAGUGAUGAAGGUCUUCGGAUAGUAAAGCCCUGUUAUUAGGGAAGAACAAAUGUGUGAGUAACUAUGGACGUCUUGACGGUACCUAAACAGAAAGCCCCGGCUAACUACGUG